CAUAUUUAAUGUUGAAAUUUGUCCAUACAGUUACUGGCAGCAAAUGAUAGUUGGAAAGCAUUUAGAGGAAGAAGUACCGAAGCCAAGGAUCUGAUCUUUACUCGAGAGAGAUCUUCAUUAUUUCAGCUAAGAAUGAAAUAUAAUGUGUUCUUGGCAAAUAAUUCCACUGGAGUGUGUGACUUCAGAAUCAAAGCAACUUGGUUAGGAGACUCUUGGGAUGUUUACAUUGGAGAGUCUGACAUUGUUGUUGCCCAGAUAAACAAAAAGCUGGGCACUAUGUUUAGCAGAGAGAAGUACAUGGUGUCAGUGUAUCCGAACAUUGAUUAUGCAUUCAUUGUGGCGCUAAUUGUGACUCUUGCAUGAACGGUGUAUGGUUAAAUAACUCAAUUUCUUUAGUGUAAAGUUGUUUUAUACUAAUAAUUAAUUAUAUUUUUUAAUUAUAUUA